CGGGGGACCUUUGGGCGGUGCGAAGGUGGCGUGGGAGGCGGUGAAAAAGAUCAACGUUUUUUCAACUUUAUUCAAAUCGCUUGCGGCGACCGCUGGGCUAAGACCAAUCAUAUCGAUUGGUUCCCAUGACGAAUUUGACUCCAUGCGACCCAAGGCUGGAGACUUUCUUCAGCAAAGAUGGCUGACAAAAAUGCUAUGAUGGAAGCACAUGGACUCCUGAAACAACCAGCAAACCAGGCUGUCGUCUUGUGAAACAUGUAAUUGUCAAUACCUUCUGAUGUAAAUAAUCUAGCUAGCUAAAGCAUUUACUGCAAAUUGAAUGUACAAUUUUGUAUGCUUGCCUUGCUGAUAUUUGCCAUGCAAUGGAGAUAGAUGAAAUAACGUAUGUUCUUGUUUAUUGUGCAGUGGAGGAUUAAAAAAAAGGACCUGUAUGUAUGCUUAUGGAAAAAGACCUGUAUGCCUAUGGAUGUGUAGCUAGUUAUGUAGCCGAUCUGUGUAUGGUCCAUAAAACAUUUGGUAUACAUAUUAGUUCAGAACCUAGCUAUGAACCUCAGCUAUCAUAACCAGUUCUAUCAACUUCAAAACAGUCUGAAUGACAUUAAUGAAACCCAUGGAUUACCAAAGUCUAAUGGUUUUAAAUGACUGCUUUGUAUUGUCUAGAAACUCACUUGUAGAUUUCGCUUGCAGUAGGUCUCUUAAAAAAGAGAAGCCGUGCAAGGUUAUUAAACAGAUGUGCCUAGUUAUUAUUCUUUUGUUGAUAUCAGGUAACGUGCACCUAACCCUGGCCCUGAUAUGCAAUGUUUCCAAAUGUCCCCUCUGAUUUUAAAUCAUGAUCUGGUUUUGGUAUUUUUCAUUUAAAUGUACACAGCCUGUUGUCAAAAAUUAAUGGGGUUAGGAUUUGGGCUAAAUCAACUGAUGCUGAUGUAAUUGUGUUUUCUGAAACCUGGCUCAGCAAGUCUGUUUUUGAUAAUGAUAUUUGUAUUAUGGGUUACAAUGUUUAUCGCACUGAUCGAGAUAAGAAAGGUGGGGGUGUGGCUAUAUGUGUAAAAACGAAAUUCCCUGUAAGUGUGGCAAAGUCUGAAACUAUUUGUAAACAGUUGGAAUUUCUUGCUUUGAAUAUUGAGGUUUCAAAGGGCUUCUCUAUAACUGUGAUUGGCUGUUAUAGACCCCCCUCUGCUCUCGGUGAUGCAUUUUCUUCUCUGAUGAACCUUAUGUCUGAACUUCUUUACAGUGAAAUGAUCUUGAUUGGUGAUCUCAACUGGUGUUGGUUAAAGCCGGUGUCUGAUGAUUUAAAAAUGUUUUGUAAUUCUAUGAAUCUUACCCAGUUGAUUAACUCGCCCAAGUCUUAAAUGCCCAGAAAAAUCUACCCUGAUUGAUUUGAUAUUGACAAAUGUUCCACAUAAAUAUUCUGCGGUUGGUGUUUUUUGUAAUGAUUUAAGUGACAUUUGUGCUGUUGUUGCUGUUAGAAAUACUAAGGUCCCAAAGACAAACCCACGUUUUAUUCGUAAGAGAAAUUUGAAGUGUUUUAAUGAGCAGGCUUUCUUUCAUGAUUUGUUUUAUUUUAACUGGAGCACGAUUGAGCUUAUCCCUGAUGUGGAAACAGCCUGGAAAUUCUUUCAUGAUGGUUUUUCCCAAAUAGUAAACAAACAUGCCCCAUUCCUCAGGUUCAGGGUUAAAGGGCGGGAUAAUC